rnacentral:tRNA from 1 species
CCUCUCAUGGCGUAGGGGUAACGCGCCCUAACUAAGAUCAGGGAGUCAUGAGUUCGAUUCUCACUGAGAAGA